rnacentral:rRNA from 1 species
GGGCCCGCACAAGCGGUGGAGCAUGUGGUUUAAUUCGACGCAACGCGAAGAACCUUACCGGGGUUUGACAUCUUUCUGCCAGCCUGGGAAACCAGGUCUUCUUCCUUCGGGAAGACAGAAAGACAGGUGGUGCAUGGUUGUCGUCAGCUCGUGUCGUGAGAUGUUGGGUUAAGUCCCACAACGAGCGCAACCCUUGUCCUUAUUUGCCACCCUGUUUACAGAGGUACUUUAAGGAGACCGCCGUAGAUAAUACGGAGGAAGGUGGGGAUGACGUCAAAUCCUCAUGCCCCUUACGUCCCGGGCUACACACGUGCUACAAUGGUCUGUACAGAGGGUAGCCAAGGAGCAAUCCGGAGCCAAUCCCAGAAAGCAGGCCCCAGUUCGGAUUGGAGGCUGCAACUCGCCUCCAUGAAGUCGGAAUCGCUAGUAAUCGCGGAUCAGCACGCCGCGGUGAAUCCGUUCCCGGGCCUU